CGCUCAUCAAGACCAGCUGAGGGAAAGGCCCUUAGACGCUGGGGCAACCGCCAGACGACACACCCUGUCAUCUGGAAAGGUGCCAAUUCCUUCGAGACGGUUCGCCGUUUCGAGAGAUGAGUC
rnacentral:ncRNA from 2 species